GUGGGGAAUAUUGCACAAUGGAGGAAACUCUGAUGCAGCGACGCCGCGUGAGUGAAGAAGUAAUUCGUUAUGUAAAGCUCUAUCAGCAGGGAAGAUAGUGACGGUACCUGACUAAGAAGCUCCGGCUAAAUACGUGCCAGCAGCCGCGGUAAUACGUAUGGAGCAAGCGUUAUCCGGAUUUACUGGGUGUAAAGGGAGUGUAGGUGGCCAUGCAAGUCAGAAGUGAAAAUCCGGGGCUCAACCCCGGAACUGCUUUUGAAACUGUAAGGCUAGAGUGCAGGAGGGGUGAGUGGAAUUCCUAGUGUAGCGGUGAAAUGCGUAGAUAUUAGGAGGAACACCAGUGGCGAAGGCGGCUCACUGGACUGUAACUGACACUGAGGCUCGAAAGCGUGGGGAGCAAACAGGAUUAGAAACCCUGGUAGUCC
rnacentral:rRNA from 1 species